rnacentral:rRNA from 1 species
GAUGAAAGCUAGCUACAGGCUUAACACAUGCAAGUCGAGGGGAAACGAUCGAGAAAGCUUGCCUUUUCUAGGCGUCGACCGGCGCACGGGUGAGUAACGCAUAUCCAACCUGCCCAUAACUCGGAGAUAACCUCGCGAAAGUAAGACUAAUACCCAACGACGUCUCUAGAAUACAUCUGAAAGAGAUCAAAGAUUUAUAGGAGAUAGAAGGGGAGGCGUCUGAUUAGCUUGUUGGCGGGGUAACGGCCCACCAAGGCGACGAUCAGUAGGGAUUCUGAGAGGAAGGUCCCCCAAAUUGGAACGGAGACACGGUCCAAACUCCUACGGGAGGCAGCAGUGAGGAAUAUUGGUCAAUGGGCGAGAGCCUGAACCAGCAAAGUAGCGUGCAGGAUGACGGCCCUAUGGGUUGUAAACUGCUUUUAUAAGGGAAAAAAGUGAGUCUCGUGAGACUUUUUGCAUGUACCUUACGAAUAAGGACCGGCUAAUUCCGUGCCAGCCGCCGCAGUAA